rnacentral:rRNA from 1 species
UACGAAGGGGGCUAGCGUUGCUCGGAAUCACUGGGCGUAAAGCGCACGUAGGCGGUCUUUUAAGUCAGGGGUGAAAUCCUGGAGCUCAACUCCAGAACUGCCUUUGAUACUGGGAGACUUGAGUCCGGGAGAGGUGAGUGGAACUGCGAGUGUAGAGGUGAAAUUCGUAGAUAUUCGGAGGAACACCAGUGGCGAAGGCGGCUCACUGGCUCGAUACUGACGCUGAGGUGCGAAAGCGUGGGGAGCAAACAGG